UACGGAGGCGGGGAGCGUUGCUCGGAUUCACUGGGUGUAAAGGGCAAGUAGGCGGCUCUGUAAGCCGGGUGUGAAAUGCCACGGCUUAACCGUGGAACUGCGCCCGAAACCGCAGGGCUAGAGGACAGGAGAGGCAAACGGAAUUCUCGGUGUAAGGGUGAAAUCUGUAGAUAUCGAGAGGAACACCAGUGGCGAAGGAGGUUUGCUGGCCUGUCCUUGACGAUGAGAGGCGAAAGCUAGGGGAGCAAACAGG
rnacentral:rRNA from 1 species